GGGAGUGCUGUGCACUCUGCUGACGACCGGCGCACGGGUGCGUAACGCGUAUGCAAUCUACCUCUUACUGAGGGAUAGCCCAUGGAAACGUGGAUUAAUACCUCAUAGUAUUAUAAACUGGCCUCAGUUUAUGAUUAAAGGUUACGGUAAGAGAUGAGCAUGCGUCCUAUUAGCUAGAUGGUAAGGUAACGGCUUACCAUGGCUACGAUAGGUAGGGGUCCUGAGAGGGAGAUCCCCCACACUGGUACUGAGACACGGACCAGACUCCUACGGGAGGCAGCAGUGAGGAAUAUUGGACAAUGGGCGAGAGCCUGAUCCAGCCAUGCCGCGUGCAGGAAGACGGCCCUAUGGGUUGUAAACUGCUUUUACAGAGGAAGAACCCUCCUUACGUGUAAGGAGCUGACGGUACUCUAUGAAUAAGGAUCGGCUAACUCCGUGCCAGCAGCCGCGGUAAUACGGAGGAUCCAAGCGUUAUCCGGAAUCAUUGGGUUUAAAGGGUCCGUAGGCGGGUCUAUAAGUCAGUGGUGAAAGUCUGCAGCUUAACUGUAGAACUGCCAUUGAUACUGUAGACCUUGAAUUAGUAUGAAGUGGUUAGAAUGUGUAGUGUAGCGGUGAAAUGCAUAGAUAUUACACAAAAAUACCGAUUGCGAAGGCAGAUCACUAAUACUAUAUUGACGCUGAUGGACGAA
rnacentral:rRNA from 1 species